rnacentral:rRNA from 1 species
UACGGGGGGGGUAAGCGUUAUCCGGAAUGAUUGGGCGUAAAGCGUCCGCAGGUGGCUGUGUAAGUCUGCUGUCAAAGAGCGAAGCUCAACUUCGUAAAGGCAGUGGAAACUACACGGCUAGAGUGCGUUCGGGGCAGAGGGAAUUCCUGGUGUAGCGGUGAAAUGCGUAGAUAUCGGGAGGAACGCCGGUGGCGAAAGCGACUGUCUGGGGUGCCUGUGACGCUGAGGCGCGAAAGCCAGGGGAUCAAACGGG